AACAGAAUAGCGAUCGCAAUCGCACAAACGAGUAGAUAACCGAUGGUACGUCUGGUUGAGGGUCAAUAUCGAUCAGAUUAUCAAAUAAUAUACCAAAAUUGAUACAUAUGAUACAUAUGAAUGAUAUAUGUUUUGGAUAUAUUAUUUGUUAAAAUUAAUUCAUCAGGUGAUGAUGUGAUGAUAAUCAUUGAAAAAUGACAAAAAUCCCCUGAUUAAGUAUGAUAAAAAUAGUAAGUAAAAAAGGCAAAUUUUUUUUUUUUACAAAAUAUUUAAUUGUAGUAAUAAAUUUUUUCUUCUUUAUAUUUAAUUGCUGUAAAUCAUCAAAAUAAAAUAAAUAAAAAAAAAAAAAUAAUUAUUAUUAUUAUUUUUUUUGAUCAUUAUUGCUAUAAUUAUUAUGCUGUUUUAAUAACAAUAAUAAUAACAAAAAAAAAAAAAUAAAUAUAAAAAUGACAAAAAAACCCAAAAUAUAUUAAAUUUUUUUUCUUUUUUUAUCUCCACCCCGCCCUGUAAAACCCCACAAAAAAAAAAAAAGGUGGAA
rnacentral:misc_RNA from 1 species